GACGAACGCUGGCGGCGUGCUUAACACAUGCAAGUCGAACGAAGAGCGAUGGAAGCUUGCUUCUCUCAAUCUUAGUGGCGAACGGGUGAGUAACGCGUAAUCAACCUGCCCUUCAGAGGGGGACAACAGUUGGAAACGACUGCUAAUACCGCAUACGAUCUAACCUCGGCAUCGAGGAAAGAUGAAAGGUGGCCUCUAUGUAUAAGCUAUCACUGAAGGAGGGGAUUGCGUCUGAUUAGCUAGUUGGAGGGGUAACGGCCCACCAAGGCGAUGAUCAGUAGCCGGUCUGAGAGGAUGAACGGCCACAUUGGGACUGAGACACGGCCCAGACUCCUACGGGAGGCAGCAGUGGGGAAUCUUCCGCAAUGGACGAAAGUCUGACGGAGCAACGCCGCGUGAGUGAGGACGGCCUUCGGGUUGUAAAGCUCUGUUAAUCGGGACGAAAGGCCUUCUUGCGAAUAGGGAGAAGGAUUGACGGUACCGGAAGAGAAAGCCACGGCUAACUACGUG
rnacentral:rRNA from 1 species